rnacentral:rRNA from 1 species
AAACGAUGGGUGCUAGUUGUCAGGCAGCUUGCUGUUUGGUGACGCAGCUAACGCGUUAAGCACCCCGCCUGGGGACUACGGUCGCAAGACUAAAACUCAAAGGAAUUGACGGGGGCCCGCACAAGCGGUGGAGCAUGUGGUUUAAUUCGAGGCAACGCGAAGAACCUUACCAGCUUUUGACAUCCCGGUCGCGGUUAGCAGAGAUGCUUUCCUUCAGUUCGGCUGGACCGGUGACAGGUGCUGCAUGGUUGUCGUCAGCUCGUGUCGUGAGAUGUUGGGUUAAGUCCCGCAACGAGCGCAACCCUCGCCUUUAGUUGCCAGCAUUUAGUUGGGCACUCUAGAGGGACUGCCGGUGAUAAGCCGGAGGAAGGUGGGGAUGACGUCAAAUCAUCAUGGCCCUUACGGGCUGGGCUACACACGUGCUACAAUGGCGGUGACAGUGAGCAGCCACUCAGCAAUGGGGAGCUAAUCUCUAAAAGCCGUCUCAGUUCGGAUUGUUCUCUGCAACUCGAGAGCAUGAAGUUGGAAUCGCUAGUAAUCGUGGAUCAGCAUGCCACGGUGAAUACGUUCCCGGGCCUUGUACACACCGCCCGUCACACCAUGGGAGUUGGUUUUACCCGAAGACUGUGUGCUAACUUAGGAGGCAGCAGGCCACGGUAAGGUCAGCGACUGGGGUGAAGUCGUAACAAGGUAACCGUA